GACGAACGCUGGCGGCGUGCCUAAUACAUGCAAGUCGAGCGAAGUUUUUCUGGUGCUUGCACCGGAAAAACUUAGCGGCGAAUGGGUGAGUAACACGUAAAGAACCUGCCUCAUAGACUGGGACAACUAUUGGAAACGAUAGCUAAUACCGGAUAAUAGCAUUAACUGCAUGGUUGAUGUUUAAAAGUUGGUUUUGCUAACACUAUGAGAUGGCUUUGCGGUGCAUUAGCUAGUUGGUGGGGUAAAGGCCUACCAAGGCGACGAUGCAUAGCCGACCUGAGAGGGUGAUCGGCCACACUGGGACUGAGACACGGCCCAGACUCCUACGGGAGGCAGCAGUAGGGAAUCUUCCGCAAUGGGCGAAAGCCUGACGGAGCAACGCCGCGUGAGUGAAGAAGGAUUUCGGUUCGUAAAGCUCUGUUGUUAGGGAAGAAUGAUUGUGUAGUAACUAUACACAGUAGAGACGGUACCUAACCAGAAAGCCACGGCUAACUACGUG
rnacentral:rRNA from 1 species